rnacentral:lncRNA from 1 species
UAGGAAAGAAUGACAAUUGUGAAAGAAUGACAAUUGAGAAACGUUUGUUAAUGUUAUAAAGAAUGGCAAAUGUGUAUAAUGCGCCUAAGGUGCGAGUGCCCUUAGCAAAGAAUAAAGAAUAAAGAAUAAAGAAUAAAGAAUAAAGAAUAAAGAAUAAAGAAUAAAGAAUAAAGAGUAAAGAAUGGCUAAUGAUAAAGAAUAGCAAAUUCUAAAGAAAGUGUAACAGUGUGAAU